UAAAAUUCAUUAAAGUUGUAAAUACAUCGAGCUGCUCAAGAUUUGACUCGAUAACCGCUCGAACAAAUUUUGACGAGCCAAUUGUAAGCUUUCAAAACUUGGCUCGGCUCAGCUCGACUCAAUUCGAUUCAUUUACAUCCCUACAAAUAUCCUAUUGCAUUAUAGAAGUGUCAAAAGUUCAAAGUAAGUUGCAGUAAAUUUAACUGGAUAUUUUAAUUUCAUUACAGCCAUUCAAUGCAUAAUCACAUAAAAGUACACCAGCAUUUUCCCUGCUAAUACAGAGUCUCGCUGCAUCAAGUUGAUAUGCAUGUAUGGAAGGAGUACUUGGCUACAUGCCUGCAUCUACAAACAAGUAGUUGCUAAUGGUAUUUUAACGAAGCCGACGACAGUUUUUAUGCAUAAAUAUAUGUUCUCACACCACAUUGGAUUCGCAAGCCACCUGUGAAAAGUAAAAUGAAACAACAGCAUCCCUUACUAUGAGAUCCCAAGUCAUUUUGCUCCCAAUGGAUUUGCAUGGCUACAGGACCUGAACACAAAGCAUAAUUGUUAGGUGACAAUCCGAAACAAUACAGGCACAAAGCUUUGGGUGCAUCCUAUCAUCGUUGAAUCAAAAGCACUGACAAAAUAUAGAAGAUAUGCCUACUUCCUGAAGAUACAGGGAAAACUGGCCGCCAAGCAACAAAGAAUCAAAGAUUAAUGUAUCAUGGGGACUACAACCGCCAGCAUAUGUAAAACUAAAUGAAAGCUACAGACACGCGUUGAUGUACUUACAUUUAUAAUUCUUUUGUUUCUAUUUAGUUUACAGUUCAGAGAAAUAUACUAUUUUGAUUGCCAAAUUGGUCACAUUAUCACUGUCCAUGUCAGUACCUUCCUACUAACUUUUCUUAAGCUAUUUAUAUAUGUAAGAACUGAGAUUAAAUGCCAUGUUCCUAAACAGAUGCAUCUGAAUUUGUGUUUGUGUGAGAGAGAAAGACUAUGCAUAUAGACCAAUACAAGCAACUAUUCACCAGAAGGUGUUACUCCUACAGCAAGUGAAAAUAAAAUAUGCACAAAUUGAAUAUACUCCACCGCCUCUCUUCUUCCUCCCUUUUUUCUUUUAAAAAAAGAAAAGAAAAGAAAAG
rnacentral:misc_RNA from 1 species